AUGGGAUUUUUGCUCCUUGUAAUUUUCGCUGUAGCAGCGUUGGAAGGUGUCCAGUCCCAGGUGCAGCUGGUGGAGUCCGGAGGGGAUGUGAAAAAGCCCGGAGACUCUCUCCGCCUCUCCUGCAAAGCCUCCGGCUUCACCUUCAGCAGCUACGCUAUGAACUGGGUCCGACAGGCUCCUGGGAAGGGACUAGAAUGGGUCGCUAUUAUAUACCCCGGUGGGAGUACUGCAUACUACCUUGAUUCAGUGAAAGGCCGAUUCACCAUCUCCAGGGAUGAUUCCAAGAGUGAGCUGUAUCUGCAAAUGACCGGCCUGAAGCCCGAGGACACCGCCCGGUAUUACUGUGCUACAUACACAGUGAAACGAAACUGCCCAGCCGCAGGCCGCUCACCCCGCUCAGAGCCAGCGCCGGGCUUCAGCUUCCCAUCCCGCCUGGGGAACGAGCCGCCAGCCGCAGACAUGACCCCCAGCCUGGCCAUCGCCUUCCUCCUGCUGCUCCCAGCGGCGCUGCCGAAAAGGAGCCUGGGAGCAGCAGGGAUCCAGUGUGGGAGCUGA